UCACCUUGGAGCCAAACCAGGAUGGCACAUAGCUAUGAGGCUAGCUUCAUUUAUCUGCAUUCAUCUUCAGGGAAUAAAGAGGAGUAUUGAUAGACCAUAUGACCUAUAUAUGGGUCUACUCAGUAAUGUGAAGAAAAUCAUUUUUUGAGUUCCGGGGAAAUGCACAAUAUGGAAAUAUCACAUGAGAACUAAGGAACACUACUGAGAAAGAUACAGACUUCAAACUAAGGCUUGAAGAUUCAUCUUUUUAGAUGAUCUCAUGUUAAGAGGAAAUGUCCUACAGUGGUGUAUGUGAUAGAAAUGAAUGUUUCCUCACCUCAGGCUCCAGUAUGAUGCUCAGCUGUUCGGUUUUUGCACCAGUGCUUAAUGGCAGUCUCUGUGUUGGGCUGACCCAUGUGCCUUGUACUGACUUCUGGCUCUGUAAUAUACCCAAAAAUCUGUGCAUAGGAUUGCUCCUGACCCACACCAGGAUGGUUGCUGAGGCAUUGCCCAACCCGCUUGGCACAUGAUCCAUUUUCACCUGGCUGCCCUUGCUCUCUACAGCCCAGUGCUUGGAGUGGCAUCCUUGAACAGACUGACUCUUCUUCAUGUCUGAAUCUGCCAGGGAAGAUGGGCUUUUUUCUGCUUUUUUUUUUGCUUUCUUACUGUAAGGAUGAUGAGAAAGUAAAAACGUGACUGUUAAAGCUAGACCUGCAAAACAAAGCAGAUGAAGAAAUGUGUUAUUUUCUUAGUGCUUCUAGGAACAAAACCAAUACCCAAUUAUUACAUAUUUCAAGAGAAAGACAGGCAAAGUUAGUGUUUAAAUGUGAGCUAAAACAUUUCUUUGCACAGCUUCUACCUUUGUAAGAUACCUGGGAUGGAGGUGGAGAUGGGGCUUACUUUAUGCUUUAGGACACUGUCUUUAUCACUACUUUGUAGGUAUGAUAGAAUACACAGGUUUUUUUUGCACUAUAGGUUGUGCUUAGGUGGUGCAGGUGCCUCUGGUCAGACUAAGUACAUGUCAAGCCCCUGGUGCUAGUUAUGAUGUUUUGGUCUCAAGUUAAUGCCAAAUCGGAAAGCAAUGAGGUUAGAAUAUGAACACCAUCCAUAAGAAAAUACUGUUCUAAAUCUUAAAAAUAGUUUCAUGUGACUAUAUGGCAAGCUUAGAUCUACUGUUUUGUUUAGUCAUCUGUGACAGGAAUAUUCGGUACCUUUUUAUUCUAAGUAUAAGCAUCCUAU
rnacentral:lncRNA from 7 species